rnacentral:sRNA from 1 species
GUCUCCCGUUAGGAGCCGGGGAGGCAAGGCCCAGCGUACGGUCCGGGGGACCUUAACUAUCGUUUCUGUACCUGGACAGUAGGUUGGAGAGUGGAGUCUGAAUGAGCUGCAAUAGUGAACGCCGACGGCUUGUGUUGAGGGCAGGAAAGGGUGCGCACAACUCAGGCAGGUGCUUCCGCGAGAAAGGUGACUAAUACAACAAUGUAGAGGACCCUGCAAUGUGGAGAGGCAUGAAACUGGAGGUCCAAUGGCGUGAGUUAACAACCAAGACGUCCAUACAGGAGAUGCAUUGGUGGAUGGGUGAAGAGAUGAGAAAACGAAAAGCCCAGAGGAGAAAUGAGGAUGCAAAGAGAAAGAAAAAUACCCCAACCAGAGAGCUGCAAGGAUAUCAGGAAGGGGGAGUAUCUGGGGACAGAGCGGAGCACGCUUUUCUGAACGCCUUACUCCGGGCUGGGGCUGCUUUCUGCAAGCCCGUGCGGUGCACGUGAGGAGGCUUUCCUUGCGGUGGUGAAAUCAAACACACCUAAGGCGUGAGUCCUCCAGACUUUCCUCACCUGGGCAGCUUGCCCCGGCCACCUGUGCCUCGCCCGGAGAAACUCCAACGUGCAGGGCGCUGAUGGACGAGAUAGAGCACGACAUCACCAAGGCUCGGCAGAAGAAGACUAAGGUGGGAUCCUUCCGAAUCAAUCCUGAUGGGACGCAGGAGAGGAGAAAGAUCCCCCUAGCCCAGUCGGAGGCGUUCCUAACGGACCUUUUGGAGAAAGUCUGUGAGCGAAUGAACGACUACAAGCUUGAGGAAGACCCUGUGACGAAGGAGAGAACUUUCAAGAGAUUUGCUCCUAGGAAAGGAGACAAAAUAUACCAAGAAUUUAAAAAAUUAUAUUUUUAUUCUGAUGCUUACAGACCUUUGAAAUUUGCGUGUGAAACUAUAAUAGAAGAGUAUGAAGAUGAAAUAUUCUCACUUAUCGCCCAGGAGGCACACUAUCUAGCUGACAAGCUGUGCAGUGAAAAAUCAGAUCUGUGUGAAACUUCUGCUAAUCAUACUGAGCUCUAGGAGUGCCGUGCUGCUGGUUGUAGAGAGGAGUAAAGUCACACCCAAAGGUCAACAUCUGCAUUUUAUGUUUGCAUGUUGUCUUUCAUGAUAAGAAAAAUUUUGUCUCUUGUUUAUACCGUGUUUGUCUCCGUUUAUGAUUUAUUUUGAAAAUCUGUUGUUUGACAUCAUGACAAACCCUGCAUUUUUUUAUAGGUGAAGCUGAGGAGUACAUGAAACUUAAAUUAACCUUUGCAGAUUUUGAUAAAUCAAGCUUGACAAUAAAGGAUUUAAUUCUUUAUUGAGGAAAAAAGUGAAGACAUUUCAUAAACAAAAUAGGGAUUUCAUAAUGUAUGCUGUUUAUUUUAUAACAGUGUAUGUGCACAUAUACAAAUGCAGUAGCUAUCUGAUAAGAACUGGAUUUGAAUUCUCAAAUACUUGAUUGCCUAUAAAUUUAAGGAAAUACAUGGCAACAAAUUCAAAAUGUGGUCUUCUGGGUGAGAUAUGGCUAUUGGUAAAAGAAACAAACCCACUUUUUAUCAGAAAUGAAAUUUAAAUUUUUAGAAACCACAAGUUUAAAAACCCAUCUGUAAAAUUUAGUGGAAUGUGUAAAAACUAAUGAAUGCUUUAAUUUAUAGUAAACAAUAAUUAUAUUGGCCCCUCAAACACCAUUCUGAGUUUAAGUGGUUUAGAAAGUUGAUUUAUUAUUGCAUCAUGUGUUAAAAGAUGACACUAGUAAUUGCAUUUUGUUUUGCUCCAAACUCUUCUGGUUUGUUUGUUUUUCUUCUAAAGGUUUUUUUGACUCACAUUUAGUGUGUUGAGUUUACUACUAAAUAAUCUACCAUUCUUCUACAGGAAUGGAAAGAGAGUUGGGACCUGGUGGGAAAUUAUCUUUUGGCCACACUUAAUAUACAAAGUCUAGUAACAAUCACUCCUGGAAAUUUCUUUAUCUCUGUUACAUUUGCAUUCAAUGGAAUCUGACUUCAAUGAUUAAAAAUGUCAGGGUAUAGUCUACACCAGUUUCUAAAAAGAGACUCUCAUUGUCUUUGGUGACAAUCAAGUGGGUAGGAUGCUACCAAUUCCCUCUGGAAGACCCAAAACUCUUUGCCAUAUUGUUACUUAGUUGCUUAAAAAGCACAUUAUGUGUUUAAAUCAUUCUCCUGACUCUUCAGCAGGAAACAAUUCUUAAAUUUAGGAAAAUUUACCAAAGCUAAGGGGAAGGGCUUUCCAUGCCCCCUCCCCACCUAAACUCUGAUUAAAAGUUAGUGAGUUAAUGUCACUUAAUUAACUUGGGUGCUUUUUUUUGGUCUUGUCUGUGGCUGCUUAAGUCUGAUGGCUCCUACAUAACCCAACGAACUCGCAUUCGAGCUGACACAGGAUGGAAAUAGAACUGAAUAAUAAUUAACACUAUUUUCUGGUAGGGUAGGACAAUUGUUAUUUAAAACAUAGUCCAUAUAGCUUUAUUUAAACGUAUCUAGUUAAGGUUAAUUUGGCAUUUAAAGUAGUAAAUCAGGAACAUUCUCCUAACUUGGAUUUUCUUGGGAAAUGCACUAAACAGGAAAAUUAUUCCUGAAAACCUAGUGACCUUCACAGGAACAUGGUGGGACCUGUGACAUUAAGUAAGCUUCAGUGAAAAAUGUUAACAGUUGUAAUUGUAGAAGUGUUGCCAAAUUUGUUUUCAUACUCUCAUUGAUCAUCAUUAAAAAUUCUCAAAUGUAGGCAAUGCUAACACUAAUUAUAGAAAUUAAGAAAAUGUGGGCUCCUGUUUGUAACUAAAUGGACGUGGGGAGGUGCACCUCCUGUCACUGAGGAGUGCCUUUCAUUGACAGUGAUGCUUUGCUUUGAAUGGAGAGGACGAGGAACCUUGACUUACAGUGACUAUCUAAGGUUUUGCUAAAUAUGGCAUUUCAGUUUUUUUCUUGGAUUUCCCAUUAAAAAU